rnacentral:rRNA from 1 species
GACGAACGCUGGCGGCGUGCUUAACACAUGCAAGUCGAACGGAAAGACCCUGCUUUUGUGGGGUGCUCGAGUGGCGAACGGGUGAGUAACACGUGAGUAACCUGCCCUUGACUUUGGGAUAACUUCAGGAAACUGGGGCUAAUACCGGAUAGGAGCUCCUGCUGCAUGGUGGGGGUUGGAAAGUUUCGGCGGUUGGGGAUGGACUCGCGGCUUAUCAGCUUGUUGGUGGGGUAGUGGCUUACCAAGGCUUUGACGGGUAGCCGGCCUGAGAGGGUGACCGGCCACAUUGGGACUGAGAUACGGCCAGACUCCUACGGGAGGCAGCAGUGGGGAAUAUUGCACAAUGGGCGGAAGCCUGAUGCAGCAACGCCGCGUGCGGGAUGACGGCCUUCGGGUUGUAAACCGCUUUCGCCUGUGACGAAGCGUGAGUGACGGUAAUGGGUAAAGAAGCACCGGCUAACUACGUG